CGGGUGAGUAACGCGUGGGCAACCUGCCCCAUACGGGGGGAUAACAGUUAGAAAUGACUGCUAAUACCGCAUAAGACCGCGGUGCCGCAUGGCACAGCGGUAAAAACUCCGGUGGUAUGGGAUGGGCCCGCGUCUGAUUAGCUAGUUGGCGGGGUAACGGCCCACCAAGGCGACGAUCAGUAGCCGACCUGAGAGGGCGACCGGCCACAUUGGGACUGAGACACGGCCCAAACUCCUACGGGAGGCAGCAGUGGGGAAUAUUGCACAAUGGGGGAAACCCUGAUGCAGCGACGCCGCGUGAGCGAUGAAGUAUUUCGGUAUGUAAAGCUCUAUCAGCAGGGAAGAAGAUGACGGUACCUGACUAAGAAGCCCCGGCUAACUACGUGCCAGCAGCCGCGGUAAUACGUAGGGGGCAAGCGUUAUCCGGAUUUACUGGGUGUAAAGGGAGCGUAGACGGCGAUGCAAGCCAGAUGUGAAAGCCCGGGGCUCAACCCCGGGACUGCAUUUGGAACUGUGUGGCUGGAGUGUCGGAGAGGCAGGCGGAAUUCCUAGUGUAGCGGUGAAAUGCGUAGAUAUUAGGAGGAACACCAGUGGCGAAGGCGGCCUGCUGGACGAUGACUGACGUUGAGGCUCGAAAGCGUGGGGAGCAAACAGGAUUAGAUACCCUGGUAGUCCACGCCGUAAACGAUGACUGCUAGGUGUCGGGCGGCAAAGC
rnacentral:rRNA from 1 species